CACGGGAUUUAGGCCCUUUCUUUACAUAAUGGCGGGAUUGCUGGUUCAGCGGGUUUAGCUGCUGCAGGACCUUUGGUUUUCGCAGCAACCUGGCCAGUUUGGAGCGGACCGGAACUAGGGAAGGCCUAGGUCUGUCACUAAGAGGAAGAGGAAAGAAUGGUUAUUGAACAUCCAAAGGUCAUGAUCAAGUCUUAGCCCUAGCCAUGUGAUAAUUGGAAUGUGUCAUUAUAUGAAGAAGGUUGUCUGCAGCGACAGGAAUAUUCAAGAAGAUGGAGUGGUUGCUGACUUUCAGGGAUGUAGCUGUAGACUUCUCUCAGGAGGAGUGGGACUAUCUGAACCCUGCUCAGAGGGAUUUGUACAGAGAUGUGAUGAUGGAAAACUAUAGCAACCUUGUCUUACUAGGACUAUCUAUUUCUAAGCCUGAUGUGAUUUCCUUAGUAGAGC